GUCUGUUGUAUGUCAAAAGAAAUUUGGGUAGGGGUAAUUUUGUCAUUUCGCUCGAUGUGCUGAUGAGUUGAUAGUUACGUGCUAUUCUCCCUUUUCCUUAUCUCUGUGUUGUGUCUUUUCCAUUAUUUCCUCUGAAUUUUAAUUUAGCAGCAAAUAUAUAAGCACGUAGAGGUGGCAAUUAACAAGCCACGAACAAAUUCUCCGCUGCUGUGCCUACUCUCUGCCAGGUGGUGGAAUUAUAGUCUUUUUAUCCUUUAUGCUGGCUGGAUUUUGUGAUCCAUCAUUCUGCAAAUAUGGAGUGAAACUACGUGGCCCGGGCUCUUAGAUUAUGUCAUUGGGUGCGUGUUGAAUCCUUUAAAAGUAGUGCGUUUCUAAAGGAUGCUGGUACUCCAAAGUUGGCCAUUGUGUCAUUCGUAGAAAAUGAGCCUACACUGAACACUGAAAGCAUUGGCAACAGAAAGAUCCAAGAGACAUUUCCUCAGACCAUAUGCCAAGUAUUUUCCAUCAGAAGAACACUACAGAAGUGAAAACACCACCUCUGAAAAAUUAUCACAAGUGAAUGAUCUUUUGUCCCCUACUUUUGCGAUGUUGUUAGAGCCAUACUUUGCUGCAUCCUAAAUAAUACUGCUGAAACUGUUUUUGGUACCCACCUGAACUAGGUUGGAAGUAUGUAAUCACGCGUCUUGACUCUUAAGCUAAGGAUGCAUCACAUUUUUUAUCUAUGCAAAUUAAAAAUGUAUAUAGCUCCUUGUAAAAUUUGUCUCUUGACGAAUACUAUAAAGUAAAUAGUCUGUCUUGCUUGUUGAUGCAUUGCAACUAACUUUUCUGUACAUGUACUACGUUGGGACGAACCCUCUAGUAUCUAUUACAUAUAUAUAAGUGGUGAUAACCUGCUUCGCUGAUGGA